rnacentral:ncRNA from 1 species
UUAAAGUUUUAUUCUUUCUUAAGCUUUUGUAAUACUAUAAAAAUUGUAUGAAAAUUAAAGUGAGUAAUUUAAUAAAUUUUAUAUAGAUUUAAGUAAAAAGUAAAGAUUAUAGUUUAUAAUGAAUAAAAUCUCAGCAUAAAUCAUUAGACAAUAUAUGUAAAUAUGAUCUGGUAAUAGUUAGAAGCCCGAUUAAAUAUUGUGCCAGCAGUCGCGGUUAGACUUUAGGGUUAGGUGAAAGUUAUUGGUUUAUUAGUUAAGAGAGGAUUAUUAUAGAUUUAAAAAAAUAAAAAGUGAAAUUAGAUUAUUUUUUAUAAAUUAAAUUAAUUUAAACUGAAGCUAGAAAAUUUCUAGGCCUAAACUAGGAUUAGAUACCCUAUUAUACUGGAGUUUAAUAAUAUAACUUAAGCAUUAACAGUUAUAAUCUAAAAAUUUGAAGAAUUUGGCGGUGGUUUAGUCUUGUCAGAGGAACCUGUUUUAUAAUCGAUACACCGCGAAAAUCUUACUUAUUUUUGUUAGAUUAGCUUGUAUACCAUCAUUAUCAGAUAAUUUUUAAAGAAAUAUUAUUGACAUUUUAAUUAUAAUUGAAAUUAGAUCAAGGUGCAGCCGAUAAAUAAGUUUAAAUGGGUUACAAUAAUCUUAAAUUAUAUGGAAUGAUUUUUUAAAUAAAGUCAAAAAAGAGGAUUUGAUUGUAAUAAAAGCUUAAUAUGCUUAAAAGAUAAAAGCUCUAAAUCAUGUACAUAUCGCCCGUCGCUUUCAUUUAGAGAUGAAAUAAGUCGUAACAUAGUAGGCUCACUGGAAAGUAAGCCUGGAUUAAU